rfam:Salmo salar isolate Sally breed double haploid chromosome ssa12, whole genome shotgun sequence.
UGCAGGCAUCAAUGUAAGUCGCUUUGGAUGAAAUCGUCUGCUAAAUGGCAUAUA